GCCGGGGUGGCGAAAUUGGCAGACGCACAGCGUUCAGGUCGCUGCGGGCGCAAGCCCAUGGGAGUUCAAAUCUCCCCCUCGGCACAA
rnacentral:tRNA from 2 species